rnacentral:rRNA from 1 species
CACGUAGGGCGCGAGCGUUGUCCGGAAUUAUUGGGCGUAAAGAGCUCGUAGGCGGCCUGUUGCGUCCGCUGUGAAAGCCCGGGGCUUAACCCCGGGUCGGCAGUGGAUACGGGCAGGCUAGAGGUAGGUAGGGGAGAAUGGAAUUCCCGGUGUAGCGGUGAAAUGCGCAGAUAUCGGGAGAAACACCGGUGGCGAAAGCGGCUCACUGGACCACAACUGACGCUGAGGCGCGAAAGCUAGGGGAGCAAACAGG